AAUGAACGUUGGCGGCGUGGAUUAGGCAUGCAAGUCGUGGGAGAACCCGCAAGGGGGAAACCGGCGAACGGGGUAGGACAACAUCGGUAACGUACCCUCUAGACGGGGAUAGCGGCGGGAAACUGCCGGUAAUACCCGAUGAUCUGACAGCACUGCGAUGGCUGUCAGCAAAGGUGUGAUUCCGCUGGGGGAGCGGCCGAUGCGCUAUUAGCUAGUUGGCGAGGUUACGGCUCACCAAGGCGACGAUGGCUAGGGGGUGUGAGAGCAUGGCCCCCACCACUGGCACUGAGACACUGGCCAGACACCUACGGGUGGCUGCAGUCGAGAAUCUUCGGCAAUGGGCGCAAGCCUGACCGAGCGACGCCGCGUGCGGGAUGAAGGCCUUCGGGUUGUAAACCGCUGUCGGAGGGGAUGAAAUGCCGGGGGGUUCUCCCCCCGGUUUGACAGAGCCUCGGAGGAAGCACGGGCUAAGUUCGUGCCAGCAGCCGCCGUAAGAC
rnacentral:rRNA from 1 species